rnacentral:lncRNA from 1 species
GUCCAAGAAAAACCGGAAAUUUAAUGGAUUUCCGCAAUAAUUCUCCAGAAUGUAAAAGGAGGACAGUUAGUCACCACAAUGCUAUUAAACAAAGUGGUAAAAUAUACGUGUUAGCUUGAGGAGAUUUCUUUUCUUACGAUAAACCUUUUUCCGCGCAAGAUGUUACUUUGAGAUAACACCUCAGAUGAUGUUAAUCAUUAUAUCUGUUUAAGGUGAUGGGAUGGAAAUGCUGUACCCCUAGAUGCCAUCAAGUUAUGCUGGCACCCCAAAGAAUUCUAAGAUCCUAUACCAUAGUUUUCCGGGUUUCAUUGUGCCUCUUAAUCUUGAACUUGAACACAAAUGGGAGACGGCUAUUCCAAGAUAGAAAGUGGAUCUCAAAGUGAAUUAAAAUAGACCAAAGACAAGGUAGUGGUCGUCAACUUAAUCGGCAACUGGAACUAAGGAGACUAAAAAAGGAUGCUGUGCUUUCAAAGUGGGCAAACCUUCUGCUUUAUCUCUCUUCUCUGUCUCUUUCUAUACCCACCCUAGCAUCCACUUGUGCCCUAAUGCUCCAGAUUGAGAACAACCGUCAGGAAGCCUUAGAGCUCAAAAUGUUUGGGAAAGAAGACGUGCUAGACGUUAACGAGCUGCAUGAUAAGUUGUUACUUGAUACAUUACUGACAGAAUUUAUACUAAAUAAAUCCCCCAAAUUGGCCCUUAUUAAGCUGGAAGCGACUGAAGGUAGGGUACUUGAUUUUAAGGCUAGCUUCGAAAUCCAAGAAAAAGUCACUUUUCAAAUUUUUAUCGGAAUUAAACGCUAAGCAAUAGUUCAGUCUUACCACAAACGCUAAUGACAUCAAACCAGUAACUGAAGUGAUCAUCAUUGCUUCGAAUUUAGGAUCAAAAGAGUUCUUGAAUAAUGAAAAGACUUAUGAAAUCAUCAUGGGCUUAUUGAACAAGCUUUUUGCAUCCUCAGACUUGGAGCCAACUCAUUCUUAAAAAAUUGUCUUUCAUCAUACAAUAGAUGACAUUGCUCUUCAAGAAAACCAAUAGAAGGAGAUUUUCACUUUGUCUUCUCCCUGUUAGGCUUAUGUGGCAAAAUGUUAGUACGUCCCUUUAUGAUCAAAUCUUCAAGUCGAAUUACCUUACAGUACCAUGUCCCAAGAAUCUUAGAACUAUGUCUAUUGUAGUUACCGUUGAGACUGGACUACUCUCAUCUAUCGUUAAAUAACUUGGAACAAGGAUCAAACACCUCAACAGCAGAGUGUUAAAUUUCAAUCUUAUAAUCGAUGAGGUCUACUCCGCAGAAAGAGUUGAUUUUGUUUUUUUUUGCUCUGAGAACAACCAAACAACUAAAAUGGUUCUUACAUUUAUGAUCAAAUCCGUUUAGAGGAACCUGCAAUGAUAUUGUAGCACUGAUCCCGGGUCACAAAUUAAGUGCUGAAUUCCUCUACAGCAAAUAUAUUCUAAUUGUGAAAACCCUCUAUCAAACCGGAUGUAUAAUUGUGGCCGUAUUAGUGUAUAACCACCCGGUCAACAGGAAGUUUUUACUCAUUUUCUUUGUGGUGAUGAGCUCCAGACUUCAAUUACUCCCCCACACAACAUCAAUAGAAAAGUUCAUCUCAUCUUCGACCCCUGUAGACAAUUUUAAACAUAUUUAUAACUUCUUCUAAAUGCAAGAAUACUUCAGCAUUCCCUUGAACUGUCUGGGAGUUAAAUCAUCAAACACCCUAACUUUGCUCAUAUCAAAGAAAUCCACCAGAAAGAGUCAAGAAAGAGCAAUAGUUGAUACUGUGUGUGAUCACAAAGGGGAACCAUUCUUUGCAAGAUUGAACAAAUCCUGUUCAACGUGAAUGGGCGAAUCUUAUUAAUUGUCCUAUUAUGAAUAAAUGUUUCUAUAUUUUAACUCAUACAAUCUGUAUUGAAACACCAUAUUCAUAUAUUUUUAUUAAAAAAAUAACAUAUUCGGGAUCAACUUCUAAGCCACCCCUUGGAGUGCGCAUUUCCUUGUCUGUUGUGCAGUUGCUUGAGACGUCCAUGACUGAGCCGUACAACGGCUCUACAAAAUUAUAAGAUUGUAGCAAUUAUUUUAUCUAAUACCUACAACUGAUGGGUACUUAUUUGAUUCCCAUAUGUAUCAGAAAUAAAAGUUCUA